ensembl:lncRNA
UUUGAAAGGUGGAAAGGCCUCACCAUAACACUGAGGUGAAACAUGCAGUUGAGUUAAGCAGCCGGGAUAAGAGACAGAUGAAAAAGGGCAGAAUAAAGUUCAUAAGCAACCAAUGACAUGGGCUGUAGCUGCUGAAGCUAAACUUCUAAGUAAUCCUAAAUGGAAAGAAGAAAAUUGUUCCUGACAAGCUGAAAUUACAUUAUAAAGCCUUCCAUAUUUUGAAAAGCCGUGAGUUGUCCUAGGCAUGGAGCUUAUUUCAGUGUUUAAUGAAACCUGUUUAUAAAGAAAAUAUCUUCCCCGAUAUCAGUUUUCAAAAACGUGUCUCUUAACCCCUGUUUUUUGUUGUUGUUGUUGUUGUUUGUUUUUUGUUUGUUUCUAUUCGUUGUUGGCAUGGAGACAAAGAGGUGCUCCACUACACUGAUCAAUGCAUGGUAUUAUCAACAUAACAUUUUCAGUCAAGUUCCCAGGAGCCUUCCUCCUGAAUCUGUCAUUUUGAUUCAGAUAACUAAAUCAGGCUAAGCACUGCAAUGAUAACGGAUGACUUGCCUCAUUAGCCGUCUCCUGCUGCUUUACUCUGUCAGGAAGCACCACUGUGACUGUCUGGAUUCCUGGGGAAGGUUUGUCUUAGAGGUAGCUGGUCUUGGAAGGAUCUCAAGAGAGAAUGAGAAGAAUUCUCAACAAAAACAAUCACUAUGACCAAUUCAGAGAUGUCUCAUUGUUUCACAAUCUAUGGUAAACAUUGUUACCUGGACUUUUAGAGGAACAUGAGAGAAGAAAUUACAGAAAUAAUAUAUGCUAGCAAAAAGAUGUGUUUUUUGUCCAUAGAAUAUUCAUCAUGGACCUUUGAACAUUUCUUCUCACAGUGUGUAUAUCUUGAAUAUACACUGAAGACUCAAAGGUUGCCUGAUACAGUACUGAGAAUGGAUGAAAAUUUGUGUGCUUAUUCAGAGAAAACUGAAAGCGGCACUGCUGAAACUCAAGACAUUGCCUUCUGCCCACCAGAGCUCCCUGUGGAGAACCCAGAAGGCAGCAUAUUUGUGAGCUGCUGCCAAGAGAGGGGAGAGAGCACUGCAGGAUGG